GACUUUGGAUGUCUCAGAUCCUUUUCCCCUCUCUUUUUGCUUCUUCGGUUCCUCUCCUUCUCGAAAACAUUAAGUCAACCGAUCCUGAACAAGAAUGAAAUUUAGGAGGCAAAGUUUAGGAGGAAAGUUCAAUUACAAAGACGAUGCAGAGGAUUUAGGACGCAGAGGAAAGGAAGAACAAGGUAUACUAGGAAUGCAUUACCAAUCAUCUGUAGAACUGGUGCCAUGUAAUAUCUCAUCACAAAUACUUGGCUAUGUUGAGGCCCUCACAAAUACCUGUUCUAACGUAAGGGGGUAACCUCUUAUGGAAGAAUUUAUGUCACCCGCAAUUCUAUAGUGGUAGUGCCACAUCAUCCGAAGGGGAAUUACUCGAGGAAAUAUAUGCAUCCACAUGAGUUUGAAGAUCAUAGCUGCUAAUUAAGGUCAGUUGGGGUUGAUUUUCAACACGUUCCCCUUAAUGAAUACAAGUAGAAUGUGCAAUAAACAUUCCCCUUCAUGAGGUCCUACUUCUCUCCCUUUCCAUCUAUAAUUAUUUAACUGUCACUGUCAGUCAUUAGGUGUUUCAGUAUUCUUCUGGAUGCCUCCAUCUCUUCUCUGACCACUAUUUUGAUUGAUUAUCUAGAAUUCGUCCAUGGUUAAUCGUUCUGCCUCAUGUGGAAGAAAUAAUAAAAUUCUGGCAGUCUAGAAUCUUUUUUUUUUCCCAGUUGGAUUACACAUUCAGACAAUGUUAAUUAAUAUAGUAUAAUCAGUUGAAGCGUUGCUUAAAUAGAGAAAGUUGUUCAGACAUCUUGCAGUUGGAUUUGCUUCUUUCAAAACUAUCUAUCAGCACCAUUUCUUGAAAGGGGUACAACUUUCUACUGCUAUCUCUUCUCUGACUGUAAUUUUAGUUGAUUAUCUAGAAUUCGUUCAUAGUUAAUGGUUCUGCCUCACAUUGAAGAAAUAAUGAAACUCUGGCUUUUUUUGUGUUAUCUGACUUUGGUAUUGGCUAUUUAACUUAAUUACUUUGGUUAUGCUUUGGAGUUUCAAUUUGAGUAAAAUAGUUUCUUCUAGAUUUGAAUAUGUAAUUAGAUAAUACUGGCCUUAAUAGGUGCUUAAACAGUUCACUUUAAGUAUGUAGCGGAACAAAUGUAUGUAUCUUUUUCUCUUAUUGUUGGUCAUGGAAAUUGCUAUAUUGUGCAGUUUUGUUUCACCGAUAUCCAUGUAACUUCUCUAUCUUUCUUAGAUUUCAGUUGCAGAAUUCAUGCAGUACAAACUUUAAGUAUGUAGGGGAACAAAUGUAUGUAUCUUUUUCUCUUAUUGUUGGUCAUGGAAAUUGCUAUAUUGUGCAGUUUUGUUUCACCGAUAUCCAUGUAACUUCUCUAUCUUUCUUAGAUUUCAGUUGCCAUGGAAACAACGGGAUUAUUGUUAAAAUUUUCUUAAUAUUGUAGCAGAAUUCAUGCAGUACAAA